rnacentral:lncRNA from 1 species
AUGCUCUCUAGUAAUUUGAUUUUGAAAGAUUUUUUGAGGCAUUUGCCCCCAGCGUACUCCACAACCAUAGAUUCUGUGCCAGGCCUGUUGGCCAACUCUGAGCCUACUCUUUAUUUUCUUUCCCCUAGGUAUGAGACAGCAGAGGUGUUGACCAACCUACCAACUGCCUGGAUCAUGGAGAAGGCCUAUGCCCAGGGAGAGAAGAGCUUGCAACCCUCUGAGAUUACCUUUUCUCCUUGGAUGUUAUCUUCUUCCAAGAAAAGGUCAGUCAGUUGGUCCACAUUUUAUAAUUAUUAUAUCCUUCUCAUGCAGUGAAC